AUUGAACGCUGGCGGCAGGCCUAACACAUGCAAGUCGAGCGGAGCGGCCGACGGGCGAGUAAUGCCUAGGAAUCUGCCUGGUCGUGGGGGAUAACGUCCGGAUACGGGCGCUAAUACCGCACACUAUCAGAUGAGCCUAGGUCGGAUUAGCUAGCUGGUGGGGUAAAGGCUUACCAAGGCGACGAUCCGUAACUGGUCUGAGAGGAUGAUCAGUCACACUGGAACUGAGACACGGUCCAGACUCCUACGGGAGGCAGCAGUGGGGAAUAUUGGACAAUGGGCGAAAGCCUGAUACAGCCAGGCCGCGUGUGUGAAGAAGGCCUUCGGGUUGUAAAGCACUUUCAGCGGGGAGGCGUUACCCGCAGAAGAAGCACCGGCUAACUCCGUGCCAGCAGCCGCGGUAAUUC
rnacentral:rRNA from 1 species